UACGUAGGGUGCGAGCGUUGUCCGGAAUUAUUGGGCGUAAAGAGCUUGUAGGCGGUUUGUCGCGUCUGCUGUGAAAAUCCGGGGCUCAACCCCGGACUUGCAGUGGGUACGGGCAGACUAGAGUGUGGUAGGGGAGACUGGAAUUCCUGGUGUAGCGGUGAAAUGCGCAGAUAUCAGGAGGAACACCGAUGGCGAAGGCAGCCCCCUGGGCCAACACUGACGCUCAGGCACGAAAGCGUGGGGAGCAAACAGG
rnacentral:rRNA from 1 species